rnacentral:tRNA from 1 species
CAGUUAAGUAGUUUGUAUAAAGAAUAUAAGCUUUGGGUCUUGAGGACCUGUUUAUUUAAGUAGGCUUACUGAA